rnacentral:rRNA from 1 species
GAUGAACGCUGGCGGCGUGCCUAAUACAUGCAAGUCGAGCGAACAGAUGAGGAGCUUGCUCCUCUGACGUUAGCGGCGGACGGGUGAGUAACACGUGGAUAACCUACCUAUAAGACUGGGAUAACUUCGGGAAACCGGAGCUAAUACCGGAUAAUAUAUUGAAGCGCAUGGUUCAAUAGUGAAAGACGGUUUUGCUGUCACUUAUAGAUGGAUCCGCGCCGCAUUAGCUAGUUGGUAAGGUAACGGCUUACCAAGGCAACGAUGCGUAGCCGACCUGAGAGGGUGAUCGGCCACACUGGAGCUGAGACACGGUCCAGACACCUACGGGAGGCAGCAGUAGGGAAUCUUCCGCAAUGUGCGAAAGCCUGACGGAGCAACGCCGCGUGAGUGAUGAAGGUCUUCGGAUCGUAAAACUCUGUUAUUAGGGAAGAACAAAUGUGUAAGUAACUAUGCACGUCUUGACGGUACCUAAUCAGAAAACCACGGCUAACUACGU